CACGGGAAGUGGGGGUCUGUGGGGAGUGGGGACAGGGUGCGUGGGCUCGGGAGGAGGGCCUGCACGAGGGCACCUUUGCAGGCACUGAUCAUCUGCAGCACCAUCUCCGCGGCCCCUCGGUUGUGCAGCCGCGCCUGCUGGUACAGGAGCCUCUGCUUCUCCAUCUCUUUCUCCUGCGGCAGAGCCAGGCCCGCGGGGCCGAGUGAGGCCCGGCUCACCAGCCCAGCCUUUCCCCCUCCCAGCUUCACCCUUCACCCUGACACUCCCUGUUCCAACCACACCUAAUUUCUUUCUUUCUUCUUUUUUUUUUAAUGUUUAUUAACAUGUGAGAGAGUGCUCAUGCGAGAGCAGGGAAACAAAGGGCAGAGCGAGGAAGACAGAGGCCCAGAAGCUGUGACAGCAGAGAGCCCAAUGCAGGACUCCAAUCAAAUUCUUGGAACUCCGAGAUCAUGACUGGAGUGGAGUCAGACACUUAACGACUGAGCCACCGAUGCGCCCCCAAGCCUCAUAGCUUUAAUUCCAUCUUAAAAUACUGCUUAUGUUCACCACUGUGAGAUCGUGUCGUUUGAAGGAUACGUCAAGAAAGACCAAGAUGACUGUCUUACAGUUUUUUAAAACAAUAUUUUGAUGAUUCUUUCCAUAGGCUUGUUUCCUCUGCUACGAAUUCAUUUUAUACAUUUAAAAACAUACUUCUAAGAGAGGCUUCGCCAGAUGCCAAAGAGACCCUGGAGAAAAGUGGUGAAGAAAUUCAAGGAAAUGUUCACGGACUGCCUUAACGAUGAAUGGACGGGUUAAUUGUGUGUUGACCAGCUCUUUCUCACUGUCUGGCCUUUGCAUAUGCUGUUCCCUCUAUCUGGAACACCCUUCUCCUUU